rnacentral:rRNA from 1 species
AGUGAACGCUGGCGGCAGGCCUAAUACAUGCAAGUCGAACGGCAGCACAGUGGAGCUUGCUCCAUGGGUGGCGAGUGGCGGACGGGUGAGGAAUACAUGGGAAUCUGCCCAGUCGUGGGGGAUAACGUAGGGAAACUUACGCUAAUACCGCAUGCGCCCUUCGGGGGAAAGCCGGGGACCUUCGGGCCUGGCGCGAUUGGAUGAGCCCAUGUUCGAUUAGCUAGUUGGCGGGGUAAAGGCCCACCAAGGCGACGAUCGAUAGCUGGCCUGAGAGGAUGAUCAGCCACACUGUGAGUGAGAAACGGCCCAGACUCCUACGGGAGGUAGCAGUAGGGAAUAUUGGACAAUGGGGGCAAGCCUGAUCCAGCCAUGCCACGUGAGUGAAGAAGGCCCUCGGGUUGUAAAGCUCUUUUGUCCGGGAAGAAAAGCAUCGGGCUAAUACCUCGGUGUUCUGACGGUACCGGAAGAAUAAGCACCGGCUAACUUCGU